AUGAGCUCUGCGCAGGCAGGGAGGAGACAGGGAGAGAGCAAAGAAGGGAGUGAGUGAGAGUGAGAGAGCAGAGAUAUAAACAGCAAAACAUGCAGCCACACAGAGUCAGCUGGGAGGACACAGAGACCAUGACAUAGCUAAAUGUUGCUAUUUCAAGUUAAUUGGGAUAACUAUAAAAUGACCAGUUAUUUUACUAGUUAUUGUUUUUACUUUUAUUUUACUAGUUUUUUAUUUAUUUAUUACUGAAAACAUUUUGAAAGUAUAUUCUUACUGACACAGAACUCUGCUUUUUAACUUCCUUUUUUCGUCUGGCUCUGUGUGCAAGACUGUAGAAUAUAAUCUGUACCACUAGAGAGUGCCUAAUCAUUGUCCACACACCUAUACACCAUCACUGCAGUAUAAGUAAUUUAGAGAUUUAAAUUCAGACGUUCCACUAUAGUUCAGAUUUAAAAAAAGAAUAAUUUCUGAAAACUCAAUUUUCCCCACAAGAUUGUAAUCUUCAAUUUAAGACUCAUCCGUAAAGUGGAACAGAAAAAUAGCAAGUAAAUAAGGGUUAAAAUGUUAAAUGUUAUGUUUUUGUCUUAUAGUAUGAUAAGGCUGGUGUGAUGUUAAUUUUUUUUUUAUUAAAUUAGUUUUCAAUCACCCUCAUGGGUGGAUAACAGAUUACUUAUUUUAUUCUUUAUCCAUGAAGAUGGAAAAAAUAAUGCAGAAUGGAAAAUAAUAUACUGUAAAUCAAAAUCUACUGAUCACAUUUUCUGGGUUGUGUAUGUAUUUUUACCACCAGUUAACUUCUUGCUUGUUUGCACCUUAUCAGUUCCCAGAUACUCAACCCAUCCAAUAUGGUGCGUCACACUUGUCCCUAUUGCCACUGGUCAAAAGACACAACUUACCAAGGCCUGAGAAUUCACCAGGGAAAGAAUGGUUGCACACCAAGAGGAAUGAGGAUCCCUGAAAGAGUAUAUAACGAAGUGACACACAUGAUGGAAUUGAAACAUGAACGAGAGAUCCAACAAAUGAGACAAGAACGAGAGAGACGAGAAUGAGAGAGAGAACGAGUGAGCCAAACAGAAAUGAUAUAACAAAUGAGAGAAGAACGAGAGAGAGAGAGAGAUACAAGAGACGGAACAAAUGAAACAAGAAAAGGUUAGACAAGAACGAGAGAGACAAGAACGUGAGAGACAAGAAUGAGAGAGAGAACGAGUGAGCCAAACAGAAAUGAUAUAACAAAUGAAAGAAGAACGAGAGAGAGAAUAACAAAAGAUGGAACAAAUGAGAGAAGAAUGAGAGAGAAAGGAGGGUGUUCUCCUUGUGGCUGCAUGCAGCAGGGCUGGGGGAGGGUCUGUGCUGGCGGAUGUAGGUUGCUGGCCUGGUAGCCUGGCUG
rnacentral:lncRNA from 1 species